rnacentral:lncRNA from 1 species
AGCAUUAUUAAACCAUCUAAGCAUGCUGGGUCUCAACCACAAAAUUUAAUUUUCCCUACUGCAGGGACUAAUCAACUACCACAGGCUUUAAGACCUGAGGAGACUGUUUUUAUCUUUUUUGUUUUCUUUCAAAGACUGAAGUGGAGUUAAUUUUACAGUUUUGACUAUCCUCAGGGUUACUAACAGUGACAGAAAUUUAGCUUGAUGAGAAACAGAUAAGAGAUGGAAUUUAUGCUUAUGCUAGGUCAUAAAUAAAGAUAAAAGGAGCUAGGUAAUUAACAGCACCUCUGUAAGUAGGGUUGGAAGACCCCACUUCCUCUUGAAUGAAGCAAAAAAGACCAAAGGAAAGCAAGGCAUGCUGAAUGGCGUCAGCAGUUACCUCCUUCAUUGGCUGAAAGUGGGUUUUCGUUGUACCCAGAUAAGCAGUUCAAUCUGAGAUCCGUCACAAG